GCUCAGUGCCGUGGGCGCUUCGCAGUGAGUUCUCCCCGCGGGUCUGGAGACUGGAGAGCCAAGAGGGGGCACCUGGGCCACCCAGACUGUGGCCAGCGGAGCCGGUCAGAGUCCUUGACAGGCUGUCCAUGGUGAAGACCCUUUACCAUUGGAUGGAGACAGUAUGGAGUACUUCCAAUGCUCUAUUUCCACUAACGCUGCAAAGAAAGCCCUUUGUACUCUGGAAGACACAGUCUAUUCACAAAACUCAGAUUAGGGUGCUGUCAGAUACUUCCAUAACACAAUAAACCUCUGGGGCUGCAGUAGAGGCUUGUAAGGCUUGGACAAGUUGCUUCAUCUGGCGAUCUUCCUCCUCUUUGCGCUGUAAAACUGCCUGCACCUAUAUCACAUUAUGAAAGGAUGAAUAAGGAACGAUAUCAGUCCCAAGCAUCUAUACAACCUGC